UACAGAGGGGGCAAGCGUUGUUCGGAAUUACUGGGCGUAAAGGGCGCGUAGGUGGCCUUCUAAGUUGAACGUGAAAUCCCUGGGCUCAACCCAGGAACUGCGUCCAAGACUGGGAGGCUUGAAUCCGGGAGAGGGAUGCGGAAUUCCAGGUGUAGCGGUGAAAUGCGUAGAUAUCUGGAGGAACACCGGUGGCGAAGGCGGCAUCCUGGACCGGUAUUGGCGCUGAGGCGCGAAAGCCAGGGGAGCAAACGGG
rnacentral:rRNA from 1 species